rnacentral:rRNA from 1 species
AUUGAACGCUGGCGGCAUGCCUUACACAUGCAAGUCGAACGGUAACAGGUCUUCGGAUGCUGACGAGUGGCGAACGGGUGAGUAAUACAUCGGAACGUGCCUAGUAGUGGGGGAUAACUACUCGAAAGAGUGGCUAAUACCGCAUGAGAUCUACGGAUGAAAGCAGGGGAUCGCAAGACCUUGUGCUACUAGAGCGGCCGAUGGCAGAUUAGGUAGUAGGUGGGAUAAAAGCUUACCAAGCCGACGAUCUGUAGCUGGUCUGAGAGGACGAUCAGCCACACUGGGACUGUGAAACGGCCCAGACUCCUACGGGAGGCAGCAGUGGGGAAUUUUGGACAAUGGGCGCAAGCCCGAUCCAGCAAUGCCGCGUGCAGGAUGAAGGCCUUCGGGUUGUAAACUGCUUUUGUACGGAACGAAAAGCCCCGGGUUAAUACCCUGGGGUCAUGACGGUACCGUAAGAAUAAGCACCGGCUAACUACGUGCCAGCCGCCGCGGUAA